GGAGGGCCAUUGCCCAGUGGUUUGAGCAUCUGCUUUGCAUGUAGAUGGUCCAGAUUCAAUCCCUGGCAUCUCUA